UUCAGACUCCAUCCUCCUCUCAAACCAUCUCCUAUUUUCUUUGGUCAGAAUCGAUACCUUUCUCAAACUCCCUCUCUCUUUCUCUGCCCUCUCAGUUUCUGUCCUCUCAAACUCCAUCUCUGUCUUGCUCUCUCAGUUUCUCUGCGUCGAUAUCCCUCCCCGCCGUCAUCUCUCUCUUUCCUUUCCCUAUCAAAAAUCGAGGUCCAAAAGCCCUAUUUACUGCUCUCAUUUGGUAUCUGUUUCAUUUUCCUAUUCGUUGUUGCCCUCUACCUGUGUUGUCCAUCCUGCCGUUCUCUCAGUUGGAAACGCCCAAAACCCCCAUGUGGUUAGAGCACCCACCCUAAUAUCUGAGAUCUCGUUGAGAGGUGCACUGAGGUCGGUGAUGAUGAUGAUGGUGAAGAAGCCAGAAAGGCAGAGGCUCUGCUUCGUCAGUUCAAUGAAUCGGAAAUCAUGUUUUUGAUGGCUGAGUAGCGGAAUAGAAUGGAUAUUACCAAUCCAAAUAUCCAGAUGGCUGAGUGUGAACUAGGUUAUUUAGCUUCUUAAGAUUAUAUUGUAUCUGCUUUCCAUUGACGUUUGCUGUUCAAACUGCAGCAUCUCACUUAUUCAAUUUAUUGGUUUGCCUUCUAAUUCUUUGAGUAUAUGUCGUGAUUUUUUUUGGGACUUUUGUCAUCCGCUUGUAUCAUUGUGCUUUCUUCACUUGUUUAGAUGAAGUAUUAUGUUGACGAGUGUGAGAUCUUUUCAAUAUGUUGAGAAAUGUGAGAUAAACUUUUUUAUAUUCCUGUUUGCUCGAUGAGACGCACAGCUUGUGCAGCCAUUGAGUCAUCUAAGCUUAUGCAAGAGAAGCACAGGGAAAUACCAUCUUAUUCGAGGGUCUGCUUAUGGAUAAAGAAUUUGGUUUGUCUCAAAUUAUGGAGAAGAUUUUUCUUCUGCUCUUUGGGAUUGUAUUGUUACAGCUUGUGGUUCAUUGCUCUGGUACUGAUUUAAAGGAGAAAGCAGCGCAAGAGAGACUCAGCAGAUAGAGGGAUGGGGAAGCAUCAUGGUGAGUCAACAUAAGCAUUGAUCAUGACUUCUUCGAGCAGUGAAUCAAAGUCCCUGUUUUUCGUGGACAAGUCCAAAGUUUGUUUUCUGUUAGAUUUCGACAGCUGCGCUUCGUGUGAUUGCUUUCUCUAACUUUGUGGAUUUAGGUUUGGCCAAAAGGUGCUAGCAAUGGGUACAACGACAUAGCCGCCACCACCACCACCGUAUAUAAGCUCUACAAAGAUUACUUGCAAAACCCCAAAAGGGACA